rnacentral:rRNA from 1 species
AGUUAGAAAUGACUGCUAAUACCGCAUAAGACCACGGAGCCGCAUGGCUCAGUGGGAAAAACUCCGGUGGUAUGAGAUGGACCCGCGUCUGAUUAGGUAGUUGGUGGGGUAACGGCCUACCAAGCCAACGAUCAGUAGCCGACCUGAGAGGGUGACCGGCCACAUUGGGACUGAGACACGGCCCAAACUCCUACGGGAGGCAGCAGUGGGGAAUAUUGCACAAUGGGGGAAACCCUGAUGCAGCGACGCCGCGUGAGCGAAGAAGUAUUUCGGUAUGUAAAGCUCUAUCAGCAGGGAAGAAAAUGACGGUACCUGACUAAGAAGCACCGGCUAAAUACGUGCCAGCAGCCGCGGUAAUACGUAUGGUGCAAGCGUUAUCCGGAUUUACUGGGUGUAAAGGGAGCGUAGACGGCUGUGUAAGUCUGAAGUGAAAGCCCGGGGCUCAACCCCGGGACUGCUUUGAAAACUAUGUAGCUAGAGUGUCGGAGAGGUAAGUGGAAUUCCCAGUGUAGCGGUGAAAUGCGUAGAUAUUGGGAGGAACACCAGUGGCGAAGGCGGCUUACUGGACGAUGACUGACGUUGAGGCUCGAAAGCGUGGGGAGCAAACAGGAUUAGAUACCCUGG